rnacentral:rRNA from 1 species
AGAGUUUGAUCCUGGCUCAGGACGAACGCUGGCGGCGUGCCUAAUACAUGCAAGUCGAACGAGAAAUUCUUACACCGGAUGCUUGCAUCCACCGUAAGAUUUCGAGUGGCGGACGGGUGAGUAACACGUGGGUAACCUGCCCAAAAGAAGGGGAUAACAUUUGGAAACAAGUGCUAAUACCGUAUAACCAUGAUGACCGCAUGGUCAUGAUGUAAAAGGUGGUUUUGCUAUCGCUUUUGGAUGGACCCGCGGCGUAUUAACUAGUUGGUAAGGUAACGGCUUACCAAGGUGAUGAUACGUAGCCGAACUGAGAGGUUGAUCGGCCACAAUGGGACUGAGACACGGCCCAUACUCCUACGGGAGGCAGCAGUAGGGAAUCUUCCACAAUGGGCGCAAGCCUGAUGGAGCAACGCCGCGUGAAUGAAGAAGGUCUUCGGAUCGUAAAGUUCUGUUAUUAGAGAAGAACACGUGUAAGAGUAACUGAUUAUGCGUUGACGGUAUCUAAUCAGCAAGUCACGGCUAACUACGUGCCAGCAGCCGCGGUAAUACGUAGGUGGCAAGCGUUGUCCGGAUUUAUUGGGCGUAAAGGGAACGCAGGCGGUCUUUUAAGUCUGAUGUGAAAGCCUUCGGCUUAACCGGAGAUGUGCAUUGGAAACUGGAAGACUUGAGUGCAGAAGAGGAGAGUGGAACUCCAUGUGUAGCGGUGAAAUGCGUAGAUAUAUGGAAGAACACCAGUGGCGAAAGCGGCUCUCUGGUCUGUAACUGACGCUGAGGUUCGAAAGCGUGGGUAGCGAACAGGAUUAGAUACCCUGGUAGU